GAGGGAGGGGUGAACCUUGGUUUCCAGGGUUGAACAAAUUAAAGAGAAGCAGGACUACAUAACCUCUUCUUCAGGGUUGGUGCUGGGAAGGUCAUUGUUCAUCAGCUCAAAGCCACUCCUUGGUUUCCAUAAAUUAGGGUGAACCUUGGGAGUUGCGUGCAUUCAAUCAAUAUCAUCAGAAUCAAUUGACCAUCGCUCUGAUUUCAAUUUCAAAAGGAAAGAGAGGAGAAAUCUAACAAGCAGUAAGAUUUUUUUUAUUUUACCUCCUGUUUUUUAGCUGGCAUGUAUGUUUGGUGACUUAAUGCAUUAUAGAAUGCAGUAAUAGUUAUUCGUAUAGAAUGCAGGCUCAGAGUUAGAGUUUAUAAGAAAUUAUGAUUCUUUGCUGUGUUAAUAAAAUAUUAACCAUCUUUAUUCAUAAUUUUGUCUUUUGGCAAUAUAGGAUUUUCUUAAUUGAAAAUAGGCCCCUCUGUAGUUGAGGUGUUGGUAGUCAGUUUAUGUGACUUCUGAUCUCAUGAGUUUGAUAAGAGUAGAAAUUGCCCUGCGUUGCUAACGCCGGUUACGAGAAGUUAAUCCUAUAGACCAAAGAAAUAGUGUUUGAGGUUUAGCAAGAUUUAAUUUUGAAUCUGGUUAUUUCUUCUAAAUCCUUUGAUUGGCUUUUCGAUGCAAUUAGUCGUAUGGCAUACAGUUCAUAUUCAAAUUACAUAGGUAUUUUAUACAAGUAUAUACAUUUGGAAUUAUAUGAACUUGUCUACAAAACAAAUAUUUGAAGCGGAUUUUGGGAUCCUUUUGGAUAAACAAAUAUACAAACUGAUAUUUGGUGCAACCUUAAUGGAGACUUGAGAAUAAACUUUGAGUUAAAAGUGGUGGGACUAAUGUGAUAUGAUGAUGAACCGAAAUCAGUAAUGGAAUUUUAAUACUGACCUGAUCUGUAAAGAGCCAAAUGUAUGUAAUAACUUAGGAAUGCCGCAGCCAUUUGACAACCAAAACAAAUAAGCUAAUGUUUUGUUAGAUGCAUCCAUGGACAUUGUCUUUUGCUGAUUUCAUUUACUUUUUGCCUUGCUUUACUUGCCAAAUUGUUCGAUAUUUACAUCUGAUUUGCAAGUUAAUCACAUGAUGUAUGCAUUUUGCAGCUUCAGCAGUAGGACCUUUCUACAAGGAGAUCCGUUUCUUGGAAUUUUCAGGACUCUUGAUCUUUCAUCCCCUCUGCUGGUU
rnacentral:lncRNA from 1 species